rnacentral:rRNA from 1 species
UACAGAGGUCUCGAGCGUUAGGCGGAAUCACUGGGCUUAAAGCGUGUGUAGGUGGAUCGUUAAGUACCUUGUGAAAUCCCACGGCUUAACCGUGGAACUGCUUGGUAUACUGGCGGUCUUGAGCCAGCUAGGGGCUACCGGAACAAAUGGUGGAGCGGUGAAAUGCGCAGAUAUCGGGAAGAACACCCGUGGCGAAGGCGGCUCUCUGGGACGGUACUGACGCUGAGACGCGAAAGCGUGGGGAGCGAACAGG